GCUGGUAUAGCUCAGUUGGUAGAGCAGCUGAUUUGUAAUCAGCAGGUCGGGGGUUCGAGUCCGUCUACAAGCUCCA
rnacentral:tRNA from 1 species